rnacentral:misc_RNA from 1 species
UCUCCGUAGGUGAACCUGCGGAGGGAUCAUUACAGAGUUCUCGCCCUCGCGGGUAGAUCUCCCACCCACUGUUAUCGUUACUGUGUUGCUUUGGCGGGCCGCCGGGCCCCGCUCGGCCGCCGGCUCCGGCUGGCGCGCGCCCGCCAGAGGCCCAGCAAACUUUGAAUGUUAGUGUCGUCUGAGUACUAUAUAAUAGUUAAAACUUUCAACAACGGAUCUCUUGGUUCUG